rnacentral:lncRNA from 1 species
UUCCAGGUUAUAAUUGUUUUCUCGUGCAUUGAAAAAACGGUAUGGUUAGGCACCUCUGCAGAUCUUUUUCAUCCAUGGAAAGUGCUCGUGCAGUUCUCAACAUUUCUUUCCGUGAUUCUCCCUUCUAAUAUCUUCCCAAAUUUCGAAAUUUUCAAUGGAGAACGCAACUCGGAAUCCAAAGUUUUUCAAGUAAUCUUUGGUUCCUUUACUGGGGAAGAGAAUAGAAUCCCUGCUCCAGUCCAAUAGCAGUGGCAAACCUGAUUUAUUACAGGUCACAUGUGGUAUCAGACCACGGCACAUACUGCUGUGGAUAGAAGUGCAUAGAUUGACAAAUCUCCAUACUGACCAAGUCACUGUAACAUACCAGUUGGCAACUGCAACCAUUUGUCCCCCACUCCUGGUUUGAAUCCAAAACCACCGUACUUGAACGAUUUCUGUGCUCGUGGGUUCAUUUUCAUAUUACAAGGAAUUUUUCCAAACAUCUCUAACCGAACCCUUUGGGAUUGUAUGUGUGCAU